UUUGUUCAAGUCUAUAGUCAAAGCACCUAAAGACUACAGUACUGUGGAAGUGAAUAGAAAAAAACUGGAAAUUUGGCAACUUGUGAUUGGAUUUAAAGCUGGAUCCACCAGAGCUUGACUUUGGGUCCAAACACCCCAAAUUUGGGAUUUAUAUACUGUCAAGGAAGGGCUCAAGUGGCCCAUCAGCCCAGAAGGAGCCUCGGAAAUGGAUCCUCAAGCACUUGGAGUGACUUUCACACCUGGAGAUAACAAUUCUCAUAGAAGUUUCACAUUCUAGGAAAUGGGUAUUAAACUG
rnacentral:lncRNA from 1 species